rnacentral:tRNA from 1 species
GGACCGGUUAACUCAGUGGUUUGAGCGCGGUGCUGUAAAACAAUGACAACACCGAAGUAGCAGGUUAGAUUCCCGCUCGGUCCC